UACAGAGGUCUCAAGCGUUGUUCGGAUUCAUUGGGCGUAAAGGGUGCGUAGGUGGCAGGGUAAGUCGGACGUGAAAUCCCUCGGCUCAACCGGGGAACUGCGUCCGAUACUGGCGGGCUUGAAUUCGGGAGAGGGAUGUGGAAUUCCAGGUGUAGCGGUGAAAUGCGUAGAUAUCUGGAGGAACACCGGUGGCGAAGGCGGCAUCCUGGACCGACAUUGACGCUGAGGCGCGAAAGCCAGGGGAGCAAACGGG
rnacentral:rRNA from 1 species